UUCGCAAUGCCCGAAAGGGUGACGAAGCGACGCCGCGUGCGGGAAGAAGGCCUUCGGGUUGUAAACCACUGUUGGGAGUUAGGAAGUGUGGAGGUGUUAAUAGCGCUUUCACUUGACUAAAGCUCCAGAGGAAGCCACGGCUAACUCUGUGCCAGCAGCAGCGGUAAUACAGAGGCGGCAAGCGUUGUUCGGAAUUAUUGGGCGUAAAGAGCACGUAGGCGGCUCUGCAAGUCAGCUGUGAAAGCCUUCUGCUUAACGGAAGAACGGCAGUUGAAACUACAGGGCUUGAGUGCGGGAGGGGAGAGUGGAACUUCUGGUGGAGCGGUGAAAUGCGUAGAUAUCAGAAGGAACGCCGGCGGCGAAAGCGGCUCUCUGGUCCGUAACUGACGCUGAGUGUGCGAAAGCUAGGGGAGCAAACGGGAUUAGAUACCCCGGUAGUCCUAGCCGUAAACGAUGGGCACUAAGUAGAGGGGUUUU
rnacentral:rRNA from 1 species